rnacentral:piRNA from 1 species
UAAUGAAUGGGAAUAAAGUUAUUUAC